CCUACGGGUGGCAGCAGUGAGGAAUAUUGGUCAAUGAACGAGAGUCUGAACCAGCCAAGUAGCGUGAAGGAUGACUGCCCUAUGGGUUGUAAGCUUCUUUUAUAUGGGAAUAAAAUGUUCCACGUGUGGGAUUUUGUAUGUACCAUAUGUAUACGGAUCGGCUACCUCCGUGCCAUCAGCCGCGUUAAUACGGAGGAUCCGUGCGUUAUCCGGAUUGAUUGUGUUUAAAGGGAUCGGAGGUGGAUUGUUAAGUCAGUUGUGAAAGUUUGCGGCUCAACCGUAAAAUUGCAGUUGAAACUGGCAGUCUGGAGUACAGUAGAGGUGGGCGGAAUUCGUGGUGUAGCGGUGAAAUGCUUAGAUAUCACGAAGAACUCCGAUUGCGAAGGCAGCUCACUGGACUGCAACUGACACUGAGGCUCGAAAGUGUGGGUAUCAAACAGGAUGAGAUACCCUUGUAGUC
rnacentral:rRNA from 1 species